UUGGAUUGGGGGUGCUAUACAUGCAGUCGAACGCGUUGGCCCAAUUGAUUGAUGGUGCUUGCACCUGAUUGAUUUUGGUCGCCAACGAGUGGCGGACGGGUGAGUAACACGUAGGUAACCUGCCCAGAAGCGGGGGACAACAUUUGGAAACAGAUGCUAAUACCGCAUAACAGCGUUGUUCGCAUGAACAACGCUUAAAAGAUGGCUUCUCGCUAUCACUUCUGGAUGGACCUGCGGUGCAUUAGCUUGUUGGUGGGGUAACGGCCUACCAAGGCGAUGAUGCAUAGCCGAGUUGAGAGACUGAUCGGCCACAAUGGGACUGAGACACGGCCCAUACUCCUACGGGAGGCAGCAGUAGGGAAUCUUCCACAAUGGGCGCAAGCCUGAUGGAGCAACACCGCGUGAGUGAAGAAGGGUUUCGGCUCGUAAAGCUCUGUUGUUAAAGAAGAACACGUAUGAGAGUAACUGUUCAUACGUUGACGGUAUUUAACCAGAAAGUCACGGCUAACUACGUGCCAGCAGCCGCGGUAAUACGUAGGUGGCAAGCGUUAUCCGGAUUUAUUGGGCGUAAAGAGAGUGCAGGCGGUUUUCUAAGUCUGAUGUGAAAGCCUUCGGCUUAACCGGAGAAGUGCAUCGGAAACUGGAUAACUUGAGUGCAGAAGAGGGUAGUGGAACUCCAUGUGUAGCGGUGGAAUGCGUAGAUAUAUGGAAGAACACCAGUGGCGAAGGCGGCUACCUGGUCUGCAACUGACGCUGAGACUCGAAAGCAUGGGUAGCGAACAGGAUUAGAUACCCUGGUAGUCCAUGCCGUAAACGAUGAGUGCUAGGUGUUGGAGGGUUUCCGCCCUUCAGUGCCGGAGCUAACGCAUUAAGCACUCCGCCUGGGGGAGUACGACCGCAAGGUUGAAACUCAAAGGAAUUGACGGGGGCCCGCACAAGCGGUGGAGCAUGUGGUUUAAUUCGAAGCUACGCGAAGAAACCUUACCAGGUCUUGACAUCUUGCGCCAACCCU
rnacentral:rRNA from 1 species